rnacentral:lncRNA from 1 species
UUACUUUUAAGGGACUUAAAACAUUGUAGGAAACUUCAAAUAUGAACUAGGAAAAAAAAGGGUAAAGAACUUCCCUUUGAGAAGAAUAUGGAAAGGAACAAUUUGAAUCUAACCUGAAGAAAAGGUAACAUUCUUUACAUUGUGUGUCAAGAAUGUUAUACACAUACUAGCCAAUAGCCAUCUAGAAUCCAUCCCCAUUAACAGAUGGUGGAGAUAAUGCAUGGUUCCGCUUACACACGAUAUUAGGAUUUAAGAUGGAACCAUGAUAUAUGUAUUUCUACAUGUAAGGCUAGUAACAGGCCUGGCUUGCACUAGCCCCAACCCAGUCCAGGUCCCUAUAGUGCCAGCCCAACCUUGACGGACCGUUCCGAAGGGGCCCUCAUACUGGACUGGACCACUCUGGCCCUAUCUCCAUGUGAGGUGGGAGGGUGG